GUCGCUGUCCCCUGCCCUCCAAGAGCACUCCACAGACAUGGUGCACUUUCACCAAAAACACACACUUACCACCAAAGAAGUAAGUCUAACAAUGUAUGGGAAGUGGGUGCUGAGACCUGGUGAACAGUUAAUGGCUAUCAGCUAGAACCAUCCUGACUUGUACAUGAUGAACUAUGCUUCUGUCAGCAGGGAAAGCACAUUUGAGUUUCCUUCUGUUUUAAGAGAUCAUUGCUUCUUCCCACAGUAAUUCUGUUCUGACUUCUCCCCAAGCUCCAGACUCAUUAUCCUCCCAGCCACUGGUCAGUGGCCUGACCUACUGAGUGAGUGGUGGAUUCUUCCCCAUCUCAGUUUACCUUUCUCUCACUGGCCUUCCAGUUCACUGAAGAGAGUCCAGAAUUGUAUCGAUAGUAUCUACAUCUUAUUUUCAGCUAUCAGUAUCUGUCAUCUAACACCUUAAGUCACAUUAAUGCCUACGCUGUGUGAUGCCCAUCUGGGGGCAAGAUUUCCAGUUGUCCUCAGUUUUCUAAGGAAAAAAGGAAGUCAGCCCUUGGGGGAGGGAGGAAGGAAAUGCUGGAGCCCCGAAUCACAUGUUUCCUCCUUGUAUGCGCAGUCCCGUCCCCAAAGGCCAGAUGAUGAGGCACGGAGGGAGCGUGACCUUCCAGGAAGACAACGGAGACACAAUGAAGUGGAGAAGAUGCCAGUGCGAGUUCUGCUGUCCUAAGAGAUACGAGUCGCACAUGGCCCACCAGCGACGAGAACCCAUAUGGUGUGAAGAACCAGCGCCGCAGCAGCAGCAGCAACAGCAGCAGCAGCAGCAGCAGCCACAGCAGCAGCAGCAGCAGCAGCAGCCUCCUCCUACUCCUCCUCCACGAAGACAAGAAUCUCAAGUAAGAUUUGACCAAAGAAAUGAAAACUGCUAUGACGCCCAGACCAUUUGUUAUGAAGAACCAUUCCUUUUCAGAAGACUGGAGUCCCUGAUAAGGAAGAACCAAGACGGGAUAGUAAUAAAGCAAAAUGAAGGCGGCCUCCUGAUAAAGAAGGCUGAGGACCACCCAUCAGAACACAAAAAGAAAGGGAAACCCAAGAAGUCAUCAGAACCCCAAGACACUGACUCGGAUUCAAGUGCACCACCAAGCUCAGAUCAACCUGAAGCAAAACCCGAACCACAACCAGACGAAGGGGAGGAGAAGAAACAAAAGAAAGAAAAGAAGAAAAA
rnacentral:lncRNA from 1 species